rnacentral:lncRNA from 1 species
CUAGCUUCUUGCCAUGAUGUCAUGCACCUGCCAGUCUCUGUCUCUCACAAGUCCACACUGAGGGAUCAACACGGUUCAUUUAUGUUAGCUUGCACUAUGGUGUUAGAAUGGCUCAAGCAGUUCCAAGCGUCUGAGCUCAAGUGGAUGGGUUGAGUCAGCCCUUCUAGUCGCUAUAAGACCGUUUUCGGGAAUAGCAGGGAUGAGACAAGCCCCUCUGGGACUGAUUUCAAGUUGGCCGGUCAGUGAGAAGGCUGUGUCGAGAAAGGACAGAGUGAGAAAGUGUCUCUAUGAUGUUGGACUGAGAGACCGCAGCUCCCGCAGGCCACUUGCAAGGACAUGUUUUACACAGAACAUCAUCUCUUAUAGAAGACUUAACUCAAGUCUGAUCCCAACUUGACCACCACUGGUUAUGAAAACCUGCAUCCUCACAGUAAAUCGGUAAGUUCCUUAACAAAUACUAAAAUAUAUUCAGACCUUUGUUUUCUUCUGUUAUGGCAUUGUGAGUUAGCAUGACUGCUCAUAACCUUUUUGUUUCU